rnacentral:tRNA from 1 species
AUAGAUUUAGUUAAUUAUAUAACAUAAAUUUGUCAAAUUUAAAUUAUUUUAAAAAAAUAAUCUAUU